CCGUUCAAUACUGCGGAGCUCGAGGGCAGAAGAGGGGGGUGGAAUUGCUGGUGUAGUGGUGAAAUGCGUAGAUAUCAGCAGGAACACCUGUGGCGAAAGCGGCCCCCUGGUCUGCUCCUGACACUCAGACGCGAAAGCUAGGGGAGUGAACGGGAUUAGAAACCCCGGUAAUCCUAGCCGUAAACGAUGGAUGCUAGGUGUGGGUGGUAUUGACCCCAUCCGUGCCGAAGCCAACGCGUUAAGCAUCCCGCCUGGGGACUACGGCCGCAAGGUUAAAACUCAAAGGAAUUGACGGGGACCCGCACAAGCAGCGGAGCGUGUGGUUUAAUUCGAUGCUACACGAAGAACCUUACCCAGGUUUGACAUGCAGGUAGUAGUGAAGCGAAAGCGGAACGAUCCUUCGGGAAGCCUGCACAGGUGCUGCAUGGCUGUCGUCAGCUCGUGCCGUGAGGUGUUUGGUUAAGUCCACUAACGAGCGCAACCCCUGUCGUCAGUUACAUGUGUCUGGCGAGACUGCCGGUCUUAAACCGGAGGAAGGUGGGGAUGACGUCAAGUCAGCACGGCCUUUAUAUCUGGG
rnacentral:rRNA from 1 species